rnacentral:tRNA from 1 species
GUUCAGUUGGUAGAGCAUGGUGUUUGCAACACCAGGGUUGUGGGUUCGAUUCCCAC